AUUGAACGCUGGCGGCAGGCUUAACACAUGCAAGUCGAGCGGAGAUGAGGUGCUUGCACCUUAUCUUAGCGGCGGACGGGUGAGUAAUGCUUAGGAAUCUGCCAUUUAGUGGGGGACAACAUUCCGAAAGGAAUGCUAAUACCGCAUACGUCCUACGGGAGAAAGCAGGGGAUCUUCGGACCUUGCGCUAAAUGAUGAGCCUAAGUCGGAUUAGCUAGUUGGUGGGGUAAAGGCCUACCAAGGCGACGAUCUGUAGCGGGUCUGAGAGGAUGAUCCGCCACACGGGGACUGAGACACGGCCCAGACUCCUACGGGAGGCAGCAGUGGGGAAUAUUGGACAAUGGGGGGAACCCUGAUCCAGCCAUGCCGCGUGUGUGACGAAGGCCUUUUGGUUGUAAAGCACUUUAAGCGAGGAGGAGGCUACCUGGAUUAAUACUCUGGGAUAGUGGACGUUACUCGCAGAAUAAGCACCGGCUAACUCCGUGCCAGCAGCCGCGGUAA
rnacentral:rRNA from 1 species